rnacentral:rRNA from 1 species
AUUGAACGCUGGCGGCAGGCCUAACACAUGCAAGUCGAGCGGAUGAAAGGGGCUUGCUCCUGGAUUCAGCGGCGGACGGGUGAGUAAUACGCAGGAAUCUACCUAGUAGUGGGGGAUAACGUUUCGAAAGGGACGCUAAUACCGCAUACGUUCUGAGGAAGAAAGCAGGGGAUCGUAAGACCUUGCGCUAUUAGAUGAGCUUGCGUCCGAUUAGCUAGUUGAUGGGGUAAAGGCCUACCAAGGCGACGAUCGGUAACUGGUCUGAGAGGAUGAUCAGUCACACUGGAACUGAGACACGGUCCAGACUCCUACGGGAGGCAGCAGUGGGGAAUAUUGGACAAUGGGGGGCAACCCUGAUCCAGCCAUGCCGCGUGUGUGAAGAAGGCCUUC